rnacentral:rRNA from 1 species
GUUUGAUCAUGGCUCAGGACGAACGCUGGCGGUGCGCCUUAUGCAUGCAAGUCGAGCGAAGCUUUUCUGUAGUUUACUACAGAAAAUGACUGAGCGGCGAACGGGUGAGUAACGCGUGAGCAAUCUACCUUAGUUACAGGGAUAGCCCGAGGAAACUCGGAUUAAUACCUGAUAUUCUUUUUUUCUCGCAUGAGUUUUAAAGGAAAGGUCAGCCGAACUAAGAUGAGCUCGCGUUCUAUCAGCUAGUUGGUGAGGUAAUAGCUCACCAAGGCAACGACGGAUAGCUGGUCUGAGAGGACGAUCAGCCACACUGGGACUGAGACACGGCCCAGACUCCUACGGGAGGCAGCAGUGGGGAAUAUUGCACAAUGGGCGCAAGCCUGAUGCAGCAACGCCGCGUGAGGGAUGAAGGCCUUCGGGUUGUAAACCUCUUUUAGCAGGGAAGAAGCGAAAGUGACGGUACCUGCAGAAAAAGCACCGGCUAACUACGUGCCAGCAGCCGCGGUAAUACGUAGGGUGCAAGCGUUGUCCGGAAUUAUUGGGCGUAAAGAGCUCGUAGGCGGUUUGUCACGUCUGCUGUGAAAAUCCAAGGCUCAACCUUGGACUUGCAGUGGGUACGGGCAGGCUAGAGUGCGGUAGGGGAGAUGGGAAUUCCUGGUGUAGCGGUGGAAUGCGCAGAUAUCACGAGGAACACCAAUGGCGAAGCACAUCUCUGGGCCGUAACUGACGCUGAGGAGCGAAAGCGUGGGGAGCGAACAGGAUUAGAUACCCUGGUAGUCCACGCCGUAAACGGUGGGUGCUAGCUGUGGGCCACAUUCCACGUGGUCCGUGACGAAGUUAACACAUUAAGCACCCCGCCUGGGGAGUACGGCCGCAAGGCUAAAACUCAAAGGAAUUGACGGGGGCCCGCACAAGCGGCGGAGCAUGCGGAUUAAUUCGAUGCAACGCGAAGAACCUUACCAAGGCUUGACAUAUAGAGGAAAAGUGCAGAAAUGCACUCCCCGCAAGGUCUCUAUACAGGUGGUGCAUGGUUGUCGUCAGCUCGUGUCGUGAGAUGUUGGGUUAAGUCCCGCAACGAGCGCAACCCUCGUCCUAUGUUGCCAGCACGUAAUGGUGGGAACUCAUGGGAUACUGCCGGGGUCAACUCGGAGGAAGGUGGGGAUGACGUCAAAUCAUCAUGCCCCUUAUGUCUUGGGCUUCACGCAUGCUACAAUGGCCGGUACAGAGGGCUGCAAUACCGCAAGGUGGAGCGAAUCCCAAAAAGCCGGUCUCAGUUCGGAUUGAGGUCUGCAACUCGACCUCAUGAAGUCGGAGUCGCUAGUAAUCGUAGAUCAGCAACGCUACGGUGAAUACGUUCCCGGGCCUUGUACACACCGCCCGUCAAGUCACGAAAGUCGAUAACACCCGAAGCCGGUGGCCUAACCGCAAGGAGGGAGCCGUCGAAGGUGGGAUUGGUGAUUGGGACUAAGUCGUAACAAGGUAGCCGUA